GACGAACCGUGCGAACGUUGUUCGGAAUCACUGGGUUUAAAGGGCGCGUAGGCGGGCUGUCAAGUCGGUGGUGAAAUCUUUCAGCUUAACUGGAAAAUGGCCUUCGAUACUGGCGGUCUGGAGGAAGGUAGGGGCAUGCGGAACUUCCGGUGGAGCGGUGAAAUGCGCAGAUAUCAGGAGGAACACCGGUGGCGAAGGCGGUUCUCUGGGCAUUACCUGACGCUGAGGAGCGAAAGUGUGGGGAGCGAACAGG
rnacentral:rRNA from 1 species